rnacentral:rRNA from 1 species
CAUCCUACGGGAGGCAGCAGUGGGGAAUAUUGGACAAUGGGCGCAAGCCUGAUCCAGCCAUGCCGCGUGAGUGAUGAAGGCCCUAGGGUUGUAAAGCUCUUUCACCGGUGAAGAUAAUGACGGUAACCGGAGAAGAAGCCCCGGCUAACUUCGUGCCAGCAGCCGCGGUAAUACGAAGGGGGCUAGCGUUGUUCGGAUUUACUGGGCGUAAAGCGCACGUAGGCGGACUAUUAAGUCAGGGGUGAAAUCCCGGGGCUCAACCCCGGAACUGCCUUUGAUACUGGUAGUCUUGAGUUCGAGAGAGGUGAGUGGAAUUCCGAGUGUAGAGGUGAAAUUCGUAGAUAUUCGGAGGAACACCAGUGGCGAAGGCGGCUCACUGGCUCGAUACUGACGCUGAGGUGCGAAAGCGUGGGGAGCAAACAGGAUUAGAUACCCGGGUAGUCCCAUGA